CCAAACUUGGUCAUUUAGAGGAAGUAAAAGUCGUAACAAGGUUUCCGUAGGUGAACCUGCGGAAGGAUCAUUAACAAAUCCUUAAUUGUUGUGUUUGUGUAUUGUAUUCACAUUGUACAAUGUGUUUUCAAUCACAUCACACAUUUGUUCCAUGUGCAUUGUCAUUAUGGCAUAUUGCACAUUUGACAUUUCUGCUUUAUUUGUCUGAUUAUAUAUUGAUUGGAAUAAUAAUGACUUUUAACAAUGGAUCUCUAGGCUCUUGCAUCGAUGAAGAACGCAGC
rnacentral:misc_RNA from 1 species